rnacentral:rRNA from 1 species
GUCCAGACUCCUACGGGAGGCAGCAGUGAGGAAUAUUGGUCAAUGGCCGAGAGGCUGAACCAGCCAAGUCGCGUGAGGGAAGACGGCCCUACGGGUUGUAAACCUCUUUUGUCGGGGAGCAAAGUGCCGCACGUGUGCGGUUUGGAGAGUGCCCGGAGAAAAAGCACCGGCUAACUACGUGCCAGCAGCCGCGGUAAUACGUAGGGUGCGAGCGUUAAUCGGAAUUACUGGGCGUAAAGGGUGUGCAGGCGGCUGAGUAAGACAGAUGUGAAAUCCCCGGGCUUAACCUGGGAACCGCAUAUGUGACUGCUUGGCUAGAGUGCGUCAGAGGGAGGUGGAAUUCCACGUGUAGCAGUGAAAUGCGUAGAUAUGUGGAAGAACACCGAUGGCGAAGGCAGCCUCCUGGGACGCAACUGACGCUCAUACACGAAAGCGUGGGGAGCAAACAGGAUUAGAUACCCCCGUAGA